UACAGAGGGUGCAAGCGUUGUUCGGAAUUAUUGGGCGUAAAGGGCGCGUAGGCGGCGUAACAAGUCACUUGUGAAAUCUCUGGGCUUAACUCAGAACGGCCAAGUGAAACUGUUAUGCUAGAGUGCAGAAGGGGCAAUCGGAAUUCUUGGUGUAGCGGUGAAAUGCGUGAGAUAUCAAGAGGAACACCUGAGGUGAAGGCGGGUUGCUGGGCCGACACUGACGCUGAGGCGCGAAAGCCAGGGGAGCGAACGGG
rnacentral:rRNA from 1 species